rfam:Thrush coronavirus HKT12-600, complete genome
GAGUAACGGGGUCUAGUGGUGCCCGCCUAGAACCCCUACAACAUGGUGUUACACCAGAUGUUGUACAAAGGGCUUUUC